rnacentral:rRNA from 1 species
UAGGGAAUCUUCGGCAAUGGGGGCAACCCUGACCGAGCAACGCCGCGUGAGUGAAGAAGGUUUUCGGAUCGUAAAGCUCUGUUGUAAGAGAAGAACGUGUGUGAGAGUGGAAAGUUCACACAGUGACGGUAACUUACCAGAAAGGGACGGCUAACUACGUGCCAGCAGCCGCGGUAAUACGUAGGUCCCGAGCGUUGUCCGGAUUUAUUGGGCGUAAAGCGAGCGCAGGCGGUUUAAUAAGUCUGAAGUUAAAGGAAGUGGCUUAACCAUUGUUAGCUUUGGAAACUGUUAAACUAGAGUGCAGAAGGGGAGAGUGGAAUUCCAUGUGUAGCGGUGAAAUGCGUAGAUAUAUGGAGGAACACCGGUGGCGAAAGCGGCUAUCUGGUCUGUAACUGACGCUGAGGCUCGAAAGCGUGGGGAGCAAACAGG